rnacentral:rRNA from 1 species
UUUUGGACAAUGGGCGAAAGCCUGAUCCAGCAAUGCCGCGUGCAGGAAGAAGGCCUUCGGGUUGUAAACUGCUUUUGUACGGAACGAGACGGCCUUUUCUAAUAAAGAGGGCUAAUGACGGUACCGUAAGAAUAAGCACCGGCUAACUACGUGCCAGCAGCCGCGGUAAUACGUAGGGUGCGAGCGUUAAUCGGAAUUACUGGGCGUAAAGCGUGCGCAGGCGGUUCUAUAAGACAGAUGUGAAAUCCCCGGGCUCAACCUGGGAAUGGCAUUUGUGACUGUAGAGCUAGAGUACGGUAGAGGGGGAUGGAAUUCCGCGUGUAGCAGUGAAAUGCGUAGAUAUGCGGAGGAACACCGAGGCGAAGGCAAUCCCCGGACCUGUACUGACGCUCAUGCACGAAA